AUAUCUUUUGUUGUAUUUUUAUGAAGUGGUUUGAUAUUUCAGUUUAGCCAAAACAUAUUUUUUUUCCUAUGUAUUUUGUUUGCCAGAGUUUAUUGUCCAUUCGGGCGCAACCCAUCUAUUCUUCGCGCGUGCGCCAGUGCAGUAGCAAACCAGCGCCCAGCUUUUUCUUUUCUUCGUGCGCGCGCGCAGCCCAGCAGCACGCGGCCCAUUUCGGCGCAGACCGCAGCCCAAGCGCAGCUCACCCCGCAACUUUGUUUUUCUUCUUUCCCUCCUGUGCCGCUGACGCUUGGGGCCCGCCAGGUCGUCUCUUUCCUCACAACGAACUCCUGUUCGUCCACGAAUUCUCCUCUGUUCCCGAUCCAAAUCAUCGCCGAUUCGGCCAGUCUUUGCCCCUAGGCCACGGAAUCCACUCUAUAACUAUUCCCCAUCUUCUUCUCUACCGAUUUUUGGCAAAAUUUUGUCUUCCCAUGCCCGUUUCGCCCGGAUCCAAUCUCGCCGGAGUCCGCCGCUGCAGGAGCACCCCGCCGGUCGAUUUCAUCGCCUCUGAAGGAACCCCUAGAACGACUCAAUAGAGCUCGAUCCGAAGCCCUCGCCGUCACUGUGACUUCAGCCGCACGUCAUCACCACUAGAGGACGGGACCGUCGCAGAAGAGAACGAAUUCAAUGUCUACAGUAACGUCCGUCUCCAGUACAGUCCUUCCGAGCUCGGGGAACCACCGCAGACGUCUCCACCGUCGACGUCCGAGCCACCGUGCGUCUUCUGCUCACAGUCCGGCAGCCACCGAGCCUCUCCUGUAGUUGUCCGAAGUGUGAAGAGUACUUCAUCAAGGCAAGUUGCACUUUUGAUUAUCGUCAUCUUAUGUUCUGCUAUGCAUGUGUGGUUUUUAUGCCACGAUAUAUGUUUGGUUUGGUUGGGUUUGUGUA